ensembl:misc_RNA Metazoa_SRP Metazoan signal recognition particle RNA
GCUGGGUGUGGUGGUGCAUGCCUGUAAUCCCAGCUACUCUGGAGGCUGAGGCAGGAGAUUCGCUUGAGCCCAGGAGGCGGAGGUUGUAGUGAGCCGAGAUUGCACCACUGCACUCCAGCCUAGGCAAAAGAGCGAGACUCUGUCUCAA